rnacentral:rRNA from 1 species
UAGUGAGUUUGAUCCUGGCUCAGAGCGAAUGCUGACGGUACUCUUAACACAUGCAAGUUGAACGUGAUUACGAAAGUAGUUGUCGUAGCGAACGGGUGAGUAAUACAUAGGAACAUACCUUAUAGUGGGGGAUAAACUCUUUUAGAGUCAAUACCGCAUAUACUGUAUACAGGAAAGGCGCAAGCCGCUGUAAGAUUGGCCUAUGCCAGAUGAAAGUAAAUAGUGUAACAAUCUAUUUGAAUAUGUCUGUAGCUGGUCUGAGAGGAUGAACAGCCACACUGGGACUGAGAUACGGCCAGUACUCUUUUAGAGGCAGCAGUGGGGAAUAUGGACAAUGGAGGAAACUCUGACCGAGCAACGCCGCGUGAGGAUGA